UACUAUUUGAAAGUUUAAUUUCCAGGAGUAGGUUUUUGGGGAUUGGUCUUUUCUAAGUAUUUACAUUGCCAAAUUGCCUUCUGAAGAAAUUUUACUAAGUUCAUCCUCCCAUCAUCAGGAUGUAAAUGUUUAUUUUGCGUGAUCCUUACUGAUAUGGGAUUGUGAGAAGUCUUAGGCAUUAUUAUUAUAAGCAAAAAGACAGUAUCUCUUUUUCUGCAUUGUAAAUAGUUAACUUGCCGUGGAAGCAGGUUCUUUUUCCCAGGAGUUACUUACUUGGUCUACUUAGUGUUUUGGCAUUGCAGCCAGGAGGGAGGGGUCGUGCUGGGAGGAGGUUGCCUAGACGUGUCCUUAGCCUGUUUUCUUAAUUGGUUAGUAAAUGUAACUUUUUAGCUAUUUGGAAACCAUCCUCCAAAAGCUGAUGCCUGAUGUCUCUGUUACCAUCAGCAAGGUUUCUCCUGUAUCUAACGUGCGCUUCUGCUUUAGCAUGAUGUUUAUCACUCCUUUAUUCACUUGCGUCCCUACUAGGCAGUGAACUGUUCGCUAGCAAUAGCUCUGUCUCAGUUACCUCUGAAUAACUAUAACCACUGCUGGGCUGGGCACCUGCUAAGCAUUCAAUAAAUGUUGCUUGGAUGAAUGAGGGUUUCUUGGAUCAACUUCUGAGAAGAUAAGAGUUGGCACGGGUAAGAUAAUAAUCCUUAAAAAAAAUUCUGCUCCAUACCUUUUGAGGAUGUAUAAAGUAUGGACUGUGAACCAGGAACCAAGUAAGAUACUGGAAUUAAACAGGAAGGAACAGUGUUUGUCCUGAAGCUUAGAGGGAAACUUAGAAUUACAGUGUAAUAAAAGUUACAGUGCAGUGGGGGAUGUAGACACAAAUGCUCAAUAAAAUAAGUAGGGUAGAGUCAGGUGCUGUGGUUAUAGGAGAAACACCUAACAAACUAGAGCACUGAGGAAGGUUUUCUAUGAAAGUAACCCACUGAGACUUGAAGAAUCAUCUAGCUUAUUGCCUAGAGAAAUGCAGGCACUGAGAUAAUCUAGUGCAAAAAAUCUUGGGAAAUGCUAGAGAAUCUCAAAGGGAGUACAGAGACGAGUCAAAAUGAUGAGAGCUCAGAUGGCAAAGACAGAAGCCAGGUCUUGAAGAGCUGCUUCUGCCGUUUUAGAUGGGCUUCCCUGGUGAUUCAGUGGUAAUGAAUCUGCCUUCUAAUGCAGGAGGCACAAGAAAUGGUUGGGUCCCUGGGUCGGGAAGAUCCCCUGGAGGAGCAAAUGCCAGUCCACUCCAGCAUUCUUGCCUGGAAAAUCCUAUGGAGAGAAGAGCCUGGCGGGCUACAGUCCAUGGGGUCACAACUGAGUAUGCACACACCUAACAUGCCAUCUUAGGGGUUUUGACUUUAGAAGUUGAGGACAAGAGUGUUUAGAUGUUAAGAGAUUUAAGGAAAUGAUUGAUGUGAUCAGACUUGCUUAGAAAUAUUGCUUAGCCUGCAGUGUGAAGAAUGAAUUUAUUGAAGAGGUGGAAGUAGAAGCAGGGAGACAAUCAAAAGGUUUUUAGUAAUUUAUGUGACAAGUGAUGGUGACCUGAGCCAGCAUAAUGGGGAGAUGGUGUAAAUUCUAGGGGUAAGAGAACAACCCAGAUGAUUGUUCUGGCUCAGACAGUUGGAUGAAUGGGAGUGACAUUUGCUGAAGUAGUUGGAUGAAAAGUUGUUGAGGUCAGUUUAUAAAAACUGAGAGUCCAAUAUGCAGAUAAAACCUAUAGGUUGUUUCAGAGACUCAAGUGAAAGGUCUCAGCUGGAGAUACAGCCUUGAGUCUGAACAUUCAUAGCAUUUAGAAGUAAAUGUAGGAAAGAACUUCCAUUUUUAAUAAUUCCUGUGUGACCAACUCACAAAUAAUUAUAUAUCUGAUUGAAUUAUGUAUGUGCAAGGCUGAUGAGGGCAGCCCUUUUAUUAUGAAAACAGCCAUAGAUAGUAUGCAAACUGUACACAGUUAUAUUCCUAUACAACUUGAUUAAACAGACUACCUCCCAGAUCUGACCAGCAGCUCAUAGCUUGCCAACCCCUGAUAUACAUAAAGAAGUACGAAAAUUUGACCUGUGCUUGGGAAAUGUCGACAGCCUGUCAACCAGAGGAAGACUGGCAGUUCUUUCAGACAUAGCUUCGUGUUCAUUGAUGAAUUGUUUAUUCUCCACUCAUUUGGUGUUCUUGCUUGUACUGAUCUCAGCACAUGUGGACUGGACUCUUGGCCACUCCUCCCCAGGGCCCUCCCCCAGGGGAGAACUCAGUGUUCUUUCAGCCCCUGAACAUAAAGCUCCAAACUUUACUUUCAUUCAUAAGUUUAGCAAAUAGUAGAUUAUUUGCAGCGUGCCUACAUGAUACUAUGUGUGGAGGUAGAUGAAAAGUAAGACCCCUGUGUUCGUGGAAUUUAUGCUAGUGAGAGUGAAGCUUUCCAUCCACUUUCCAUCUUCACCUGACGCUUUUAGUUGGGCACACCGUGCGUUCUGUUUUGGCUUUGAUCUUGGCUUCCUCCCAGAUGUGUUGUCUUUGGUUUAGUGCAUCUCCAAGGACUCUUGGAGCAAAUUCUUGUCCCAUCUGACUGGACCCUGAAAAGAAUUGCUGUGUUCACCCAGUGGGUAGCCUCUGCCUUAUAUUUUGUCUGGACUCACUUGGAAACCAGGACCUGGGUAGUGGAUAUGAUGCAUAAAACUCAACCAUAAUGGGGAAUUAGGAAUUAUCUAUAGAAUAAAACAUUUAAAAAUACUAUUUGAGGUACUUGAGAAAGAAGUACCAUCUUAAAACCUUGAAAUGAUUUCUGCUAAGAUUCCAAGAUAGGACAAUCUCUGAAAUAUUAAAAGGUUGAAAAUUAUAUGCAAGGAAGAUUUUCUGUCUUUUUAGGAAUUGUCAUAUUCCUGAUGAGACAUUUUAAUGGUAAAUAUAAUAAAUGCACAUGACAUUUCUCUUUGAAUCUUGACAUAACAAAGUGUUACUAAAUUUGACUUUGAACAAGUCUGUGGUUCAGAUUACAUGAAGACAAUUAUUGAUGGACAUCUGGCAACUAUUGGUAAUUUUUCUUGUCAUUGGAAAAAAUUAUGUGGCCAGUCUACAAAAGAAGAGCUUAAUAUAUGACUUAAUAAUAAUAUAUCAAGUAUUGAAAUUAUUUUCCUAUAAUAAAAUCUAAAUUUACUUGGUACUUUUUGUUACUGUCUGUUUAAGAGUUGGUAGAGCUUUUGGUACUUCUUAAUUUUCCUUUUAUUAUAACAAUAGAACUUAAUUUUCUAAAUAUUCAUAAAAAUUACUUAAAUUGCAAGCAAAAUAUGACUACAUAUGAAUUUGUUUAAACAUGUAUUUCAAAUUUGGUAUAACGAGUGUAAUACAUUCCUUUUCGUAGUUUUAACUAUUUGAAGCAACUCUUACCUAAGUAAUAAAAAGACAAAUGACCCAACCAGAAAGUGUGCAAAAGAUCUGAGUAGACAUUUUUCUGCUAAAAAGUUUACAAAUGACCAAUAAACAAAUGAAAAAUGUUCAGCAUCAUUAGUCAUUAAGGAUAAACAAAUCAAAAAGGCAGUGGAUAUCACUUUACACCUACUGGGAUGGCUAUAGAAAAAAGACAAACAAUAACAAGUGUUAGUGAGGAUGUAGCUGGAACCCUCAUACGUUGCUGCUGUGAAUUUAAAACGAUGCAGUUGCUUUGGAAAACUUUGGCAGUUCCUUAAAAAGUUCAACAUAGAGUUACCAUAUGACUCAGCGAUUUUCCUGCUCAUUGUAUACCCAAGAGAAAUAAAAACAUGUCUACACAAAAACUUGUACAUAAAUGUUCGUUUCAGCAUUUCCAUAAUAGACGAAAAGUGGAAACAACCCAAAUGUCCGUCAACUGAUAGGUGGAUGAAUUGAAUGUGGUAUAACCAUACAAAGGAGCAAUUUUCAGCCAUUAAAAGGGAGGGAAGUACUGAUGCAUGCUGUAACAUGGAUGAACCUUGCAAACAUGCUAAAUGAAAUAAGCCAGAUAUGAAAGACCAUAUAUGUAUGAUUCCAUUUAUAUGAAGUGUUCAAAACAGGCAAAUCCACUGAGACAGAAGAGUGCUUCCCAGGGCUUGGGAUGGAGGAAGAAUAAGUGACCGCUAAUGGGCAUAGGGUUUCUUUGGGGUGUGAAAAAAUGUUCUACAAUAGAGAAUUUUGUGAAUAUACCAACAAUUAUUGAAUUACAGAAGGAAAAAUGCAUAAUUUCUGUGAAUGACAUCACAAUUGAAAAUGCGAGAAUAAAAGGACUGUAUGCAUGAGUUAUUAAAAAAUUUACUCUCUCCUACUUGGACUAUGGGGACUUCCUCUGAAUCUCUUGCACCAAACCACCAGUGCUAGCAAGUGGUAGGAUUUUGUGGGUGUUUUUUUUUUUUUUUUUGUGGAGCAAUUUGACAAGUGAACUAAGUACGUAUGUCAUCCUAAAUUGAAUUCUUUUGACUCAUGUCCUAGGAGUGAUGAAAUGUGUCUCUCUGUCUCAUUUCCUGCUGCUGAUGUGUCUGAUGGUUCCACUGCUUCCCUUCCUGGAAUGAUUUUUGCCAUCAACCACUUAGCAAAUAUCAUCCACUUACUCAAGUGAUGUGAUGAGCAGUCUGGUCAUAAUUGUUUCCACACUUUAUUGACGAGUAUUCUCAGAUUUCUUAAAGGAUUCUAUGGUAACAUGGAUGAAGACGAGGUGGAUUGUGUCUGUGAUGAAAUAUCUGAUGACUUUUACCAGGCCCCUUGUGGGUUAAGGCAGCAUGGGAGGUGAAAGCGAAGCUGUGAGUGGGUGAGAAAAGCAAGGGGUGGACUGGCCAAGGUACAAAGGGAAAAUCAUCCUGUCCUCAGCUUGGAAAGAACCUGAUAUUUAGUUUUCUCUGCUGCUUUUAAUGUGACAGGGCAUUUGGCACAGCUCACAUCAAGAAAGAAUUUAGUUGUCCCAAUAAAUUGUCCAGAAAGAAUGAACAUUGCUGGCAGUUACUGCUAAAAUACAUGAAAGCAUCUGGUCAUGAUUUGCCCUAGUUUGUCUAGCAGCCACCUGUUGAAGCUCUCAAAUCUGGAUUCAGAUUCCAGCUCUACAUCUUAGAAAGACUUGCACCUUGGGCAGCUUUCUGAGAAACAUUAACUUUUCCCUUUGAAAAUGUGGUUCAAGGUAUUGACCUUCCAGGAUUACCACCAGAAUUAAGUUAGACUGAUGGCUGUAUGCCCUCUGUAAGUGGUGACAAUUAUUGUAUCUUCUUUGUUAGCAUCAUGGGUUUUGUUUUCUGGUUUUUAUUUGUUCAGAGUCUAAAUUUCUUUUAGGUGAGGCUUAAUUUUUAAGAAAAUGUGGGCUUAUAUGCUUGUAUUAAUUUAAAUCACAGUUCUAGCAUUAUCUGUUUAACCUCUCAUCGUGUAAAUUUGACUGAAAUCUCACAAUUAGUUGUAUACAAGUUUAAAAAAUGAAACUUUGAAUCCACAUCAAAUAAAAAUCACUUCUGCCCUCUUUAGAUAAAUCAAUAAUUCCCUUUGUGAGCAUAUAGUUACAGAAUACCUUUUAGUUUUAAUGGAUCAUUCUGUUUUAUUAAACUCAUUGAUGAAUUAAGAGCUGGAAGGACCCUUGGGAGGGUCUGAGCUCAGUGAUUACAAGAGGGAAAAAACUUGUUUAGAGAGGUUUAGUGACUUACUUAUGUAGACAGGCAAACAGCUGCCUUGUGAUGUGGACAAAACCAGAUAGCACUGCCCAUCCUUCCCAGUCAACGCUCAUUCCAAGAUACCAAUUCCUGUUUUAAGAAAAAGAUGAAUAGUGAUGCUGGCCACUUGCCCUUCAGGUCUUACCUAGUAUUCCUUCAGUUACCUGUUUGAGCUCACCAAGUUCAAUCAAUAUACAUCUUCCAUCUUUCAUAGCCUCCCAACCCAUCCUAGCCCAUCAAUCUUACAGCACUCAGGCUGUAUUCUGACCUCAAGUUUAAAAGGCAUCACAGAGCCAUCAGUGGUAAUUAACAGCCUCCCACGUUGUAUUCCCAGAGUUUUAUGAACAAUUACAGAGCUGGGUGAAAUUAUUUCCUGGGUGAAAAUAGUCCCGUAUUUCUGUGGCUUUCAUUGAGAAGUGUUUGGUGAAGAUUUUAGUCCUACCUCCUGCUCCAAUACUUUGGCCACCUGAUGUGAAGAGCUGACUCAUUGGAAAAGACAGAGCAGGAGAAGGGGGCGGCAGAGCAUGAGAUGGUUGGAUGGCGUCACCGACUGAAUGGACGUGAGUUUGAGCAAACUCCGGGAGAUAGUGGACAGGGAAGCCUGAUGUGCUGCAGUCCACGUGGUCGCAAAGAGUCAGACGUGACUUAGUGACUGAACAACAAGAACAGCUGGCUCCUGGUGGGUGAAUGAUGUGUUCCGGACACCUCUUAUGUUCCCCUCAGUGGCUCUUAGUUUCUAAUUCUUUUUUCUGUCAGAAUAGCUCAUAGGGAAAGGAAUAUCCAUGAACACCCUUCUUGAUAAACAGUCAAAAUGACCAUUUUGAAGAUCGUGGGUCCCAGGGAAUUAGGCUUAUCUCUGUUCUUGCCUUGAUUUACUCCAAGAUUGUGAAAAUGUUAGUUGUUCGGUCAUGUCCAACUCUUUGUGACCCCGUGGACUGUAGCUCACCAGUCUCCUCUCCAUAGAAUUCUCCAGGCAAGAAUACUGGAGUGGGCAGCCAUUCCUUUCUCAAGGGGAUCUUCCCAACCCAGGGAUCAACCCUGGGUCUCCUUCAUUGCAAGCGGAUUCUUUACCAUCUGAGCCACCUUAAGAGGCUGGUGAUUAAACUGAACAAAGGCCCUACCCCCGGGGGCUAGGGCGAGGGGAGCUGGGUGCAGCAUGGUCCUCAAGUGGGAGGCAUCCAGGGUAAGUCUUCCCUAGGGAAGCUGUGUUUCUGGCCUGUUGGAAACCCACUGAGACACUUAGAUGGUGGAUGUUAUGAAGUAUCCACCUAGACUGGACACUUUAGGUACCUCAUUCCAAAGAAAGGUUUUUGCUUGUCCAGCUAUGGGGCCUAUAUAUUUUUUGUUGGUUGGUCAGUUUUGCUUGUAUCUAAUUACUACACUUCUUUGUACAGGCAACAAAAAGGACUUCAGCAUGAUCUUAUAUUAGCGUGAAUUAAAAAAGGAAUACUUGCUUCCAAGUUGACUUUAACCUCUGAGUUUCCAGCAUCUUCUCUGCUGACCCCCCAGAAGCAAGGUCACUGGGGCAUCCCUUAUGAAAAUCAGUGAUUUAAUUGUGUUGUAUUGUCAUUAUGGAGUUUUCCUUUCCCUGGUGUUUAGAUAAUUUGCUUUUUAAAAAAGCGUUCCAAUUUAAAAUCUUUCUGAAAAAAGCGAAAGUCUCUCAGUCGUGUCUGACUCUUUGCAACCCCGUGGAUUAUACAUUCCAUGGAAUUCCCGAGGCCAGAAUACAGGAGUGGGUAGCCUAUCCCUUCUCCAGCAGAUCUUCCCAACCCAGGAAUCGAACUGCGGUCUCCUGCAUUGCAGGUGGAUUCUUUACCAACUGAGCUAUCGGGGAAGCCCAAAAUCUUUCUAGAAAAUGCAUUUGUGCUUUCGGUUUUCAGCUUUGCUGCUUUAUUUUGUGAGCUUGCUGUGAAGAAUGUCUUUGGCCAGAAGCUUAAGGGCACGGCUGAGCUGCAUACUUAGUGAGAAGGAAAGUGUCGGUCUGGGUUUGACCCUCAUGCCUCGUGUGAGACACUGUGCAAUACCCAUCAUCACUGGCCUCGUAAAUGGCUUUGAAUGCAUUCUUGGGGAUGUGACCACCUGCUGUCAUCCCCUGAAAAGAGGGUGAGGUCAUUUGCUCAUCACAUAUUAACUGAGGACUUAUACUGUGAAAGGACCUGGGACUUCAAAACGCGUGGUUCCUGCCUUCAUAGAACUUCAAGGUCUUGUAAACAGGCAUGUGUGUGAUUGUGUCGAUGUUCCAGUGGGAUCCUGUAAAAGGCAGCUGCUCGCACAGAUGAGGGAGUAAUUGACUCCGUGAAUGAUCAGAGGAAGGCAUAAAAAGCCUCCAAAGCUUUGUUUCUGUAAGUGGGUGUUUACUGAGGUUGUGCCUGGCAUUUUUGCGGGCACCAGGCACACAGCACUGUGUGAGUAGAUAGGCAGAUAGGACUCAGCUGUCGUGGGGGGAGAGAGAAAAACAAUAAGUAAGUGCCAACAGAGAAGCAAAUUCCCUUGUUUAUAAACCAUACCCUAAGGGUUACUUCAGGUUGAGUGAUCAGAGAAGGUCACUCUGUGGAGGUGAGAUUUAAUUUUAGGCCUGAAAGUUAAGCAGGAAUCAAUCAUGCAAAGAUUUGGAAGACUUUUCUCCAGGCAUAGAAAACAGCUAGGACAAAAGUGUGCAAACUGGCAUAUGCUUUAUGUGUUUGACAAAUAGAAAGAAAGCGAGUGUGGCAAGUGGGUGAGGCUAACGAAAGUGGAUUAGGG
ensembl:lncRNA